ACAAUUCAAGGUACCCAGUGAGGAAUGUAUAAAGAGUUGUGGGAGUAGUGCAGCUUUCUCAGGUUGUCCCUUUCCAGCUGAAUAUGCAGAAAAGCUCACACACCACCCGCCUGGCUCAGGGGAGCUGGUUAAGGUAGGAUUGCGUGUAUGAAAUGGGCAUAGUUAAUGCCUGUGAAGUUGUUUAAAACAUCUAAUGACAACCCAGACUUGAAUCUUCCAGCUCUAUCGUGCUGCAAAAAUCUGCAAGUCUCUCCAGGGAAAUUUUGAUCCCCCUUGGUCCAAAGACUGUCUGCAAAUUGAUGCCUCCGGGUUGAGAUUUGCAUGUGUGGGUAUCUGACCACCUCCUGCAAUGCUGAAUAAAGUGCAAGGCAAAUACCAGAGCUCAGAGUGUAUAUGAAGAGUUCGACAUGCUGGCAUCACCAACACUGUGCUUCCCAGCAUGCCCCAGCCUUCCUUCAAAGAAGCACUCGGUGUAGCAGAAAGUCCAAGAAAAGGCUUACUCCCUGGAGGAUCAAGAAGAAAGCAACAGUGAAGAAAGGACCGAUAGCAGCACGGAGAAUACAGAAAGCAGAUAAAGAAGGAAAGGAGGAGGUGGAGGUGAGCAGAAGGCAGCUCAGAAAAUUGCACAAGCUGUGGGGAGUUUUUCCAUCGAGACGUUUGUGCAUCUCAAAGGGAGUGACUCUGCCAUCUGCAUCUCCUCUGAAAAAAAAAAAAAAACGGAACAGAGCAGCGACAAAAAAAGAAAUCCACCUGUUGUGUGUCUUGUUUUGGCUGUAGUAGGACAAAUCAGCACAGAAUGCCUGCUGUGCGAGGGGAGAGGAAGCCAACGGAGGUACUGUUGUGUCUGAGGAGCCACACAACCAGUCCCACUGCUCUGUCCUACUGACACACUGGGAAGAGCAGGGAGGAACUAUUUUAGUCCUGUUGAGGCUGCUGAGGAACGAAAAAAUGGAAGUAAUUAAAGGUGUGUUCCAGUCUCACUUACUUUUCUGAG